rnacentral:misc_RNA from 1 species
AAGUCGUAACAAGGUUUCCGUAGGUGAACCUGCGGAAGGAUCAUUACAGAGUUCAUGCCCUUACGGGUAGAUCUCCCACCCUUGAAUAUUAUACCUUUGUUGCUUUGGCGGGCCGCUUCGGCUACCGGCUACGGCUGGUGAGUGCCCGCCAAAGGACCCCCAAACUCUGAAUUAUAGUGUCGUCUGAGUACUAUAUAAUAGUUAAAACUUUCAACAACGGAUCUCUUGGUUCUG